UACGAAGGGGGCUAGCGUUGUUCGGAAUCACUGGGCGUAAAGCGCACGUAGGCGGAUUUUUAAGUCAGGGGUGAAAUCCCGAGGCUCAACCUCGGAACUGCCUUUGAUACUGGAGAUCUUGAGUCCGGAAGAGGUAAGUGGAACUGCGAGUGUAGAGGUGAAAUUCGUAGAUAUUCGCAAGAACACCAGUGGCGGAAGGCGGACUUACUGGUCCGGA
rnacentral:rRNA from 1 species